rnacentral:rRNA from 1 species
CGAACGCUGGCGGCAGGCCUAAUACAUGCAAGUCGAACGGCUCUUCGGAGCAGUGGCGGACGGGUGAGUAACGCGUGGGAAUGUGCCCUUAGGUACGGAACAACACAGGGAAACUUGUGCUAAUACCGUAUGUGCCCUUCGGGGGAAAGAUUUAUCGCCUUUGGAGCAGCCCGCGUUGGAUUAGGUAGUUGGUGAGGUAAAGGCUCACCAAGCCGACGAUCCAUAGCUGGUCUGAGAGGAUGACCAGCCACACUGGGACUGAGACACGGCCCAGACUCCUACGGGAGGCAGCAGUAGGGAAUCUUGCGCAAUGGGCGAAAGCCUAACGCAGCAACGCCGCGUACGGGAAGAAGGCUCUCGGGUUGUAAACCGCUUUCAGCAGGAACGAAAAUGACGGUACUUGCAGAAGAAGGUGCGGCCAACUACGUGCCAGCCGCCGCGGUAAUAC